CGUUUACAUACCUGUUUUCGUACGAUCAACGAAGUUAAGCAACACCGAGCCUGGUCAGUACCUAGAUGGGUAACUGCUUGGGAAUACGAGGUGCUGUAA